GAGGAUGCAGGCCUCUGGGUGUUGAUUCAGUGGCCAAGGAGACUCAGACAGAGAGCUCCAGGGCCCCAAGGACAGGAAGACCCAGGGACGGAGUCUGCUGGUCAGAAGGCACUGGCCCGUGGCUCCCUGGAGCUGUACAGCAAUGAUUCAGGAAAAGGCUGACAAGGAUAUUAGCAGCACGGGUUUUUUUUUUUUUAAUCCUGAGUCCAGAGAAAAUGCACGGUCAGGAAUAAAGGCGCCCAAGAGAGCAAGGAGAAGGAAAAAUAAUCAGAAUUAGCCAGCAGGCGGGCAGCGGGAAAAGGGGAAAUGCAGCCCCACCAGGGUCGGAGCCUCCGCAGGACCAGCUAAGGAGGUGGCCAGGGAGUGGGCAGGCCUGGGCAGGCACAUGAAGGAACUGGGGCCGGCUGGAGCCCAGCAAGCAGGCAGAAGGGAAGACAAUAAAAGAAGCCAUCAUCAGACAAUUCAGCUUCAGGCCACACUGGUAAAUGUUCUCCAGCCUCAUCAGAUCCUCAAGACUCUUUCCGAGGAGCAGUAUGCGAAGAAAACCAAAGCUUUCAAAAUACAAUGUCAGCUGAAAUAUCACAUCUUCAGGGAGGCUUUCCCUGACCCCAACCACCUCCACUCAAGACUGGAUCGUUUCUGGCAUCCUUUGCAGGUAGCUCUUAGAGUUUGUAAGGAGACUUGGAUGUGAUUUCUAGAUCAGCACGUGUCUCUCCCACUAGAGGGAGCUCCGAGAGUCCAGGGUGCAGCUGCUUUUGUUUGCUACCCUGUGGCUAGAGUUUUGUAGGGUGCCUGCCAUGAGGCAGGAGCUCCACAAAUAUCUGCUCAAGAAGGGGGAUGCAGAUGAAGCUCGUCCUCACCCACCCCCAAAAGGGUGAGCUUCUCCUGGAAAAUGGGGAAUCCUGGGGGCUCUUGGAGGAUCCAAAGAGGGUGCACCUUUAAGUAAAGGGAUGAGUCCAUCUUUAAAGGGAGGGUUUGGGCUGAGACAUUGAACAAAGUGAUAGCACCCCAUCCCCACUACUCCCUUAGCCCUAAGGAUGUUUUCUGUUGCCCACAGCUGAAAAAGUGCCCCUUGUGGUGGUGGUGAAGGGGGGUGGGUUUACUCAGGAUGGAGGUGGAUGUAGAAGCACCUCUGUGCUUCCCAAGGUUGCUUCAGCUUCCAAGGGCACCUGCCUAGAACCUGGCAGCCCAUCAAGGCAAAGGAUAUAGAAGGUAGAAGAGGUAGGGCAGCCUGGUUCCUGUAGGCUGGCCAGGAACAAGCUCAGCCGCCAUAAGGAACAGGAAGAGAGGCCCCUGGAUGCCACCAUGAGGCUCCUCUGUAGCCCGUCUUUGGGUCCAGAGGGAGCAGCCAUGAGCCUUGGGACCCAGCACAAGGGCUCCGUCUAGGUAUCAGCAGUAUCAGAUCAGCAGAAACUGCUCAGAGUAACCAAAGCAACAUCUGCAGCCACUGCUCUUCAGAAACAGCUGACCAGGGUACCUGAGGACACAGUUCAACUUACAUUCUGGGCAACAGGGGAAGGGAUAGCCCAUGCCUCCAGGACCUGGCAGCAUCCAGAAAUAAGGGCUCCUGGGAAAAUUUUGCUGGGGACACAGGCACAAUGUCUUUGAGGAUGAUCCUACAAAGUCUGCCAUCUAGGAUGGCACAGUACAAAAGAAAUAGAAUGCAAGCUCUAUAUGUCAUUUUUAAUUUUCUGGUGGCCACAUCUUUUUAAAAGUAAAAACAGGUGAAAUUAAUGUUAAUAAUAAAUUUUAUUUAACCCAAUAUAUCCAAAAUAUAAUUUCAACAUGUAAUCAAUAUAAAAAUAUUAUUGAGAUACUUUUUUUUUCAAAAUGCAGUGAAUAUUUUAAAUACAUUGGCAGUAUAUGUCAGUUCUGAAUAGCUGCAUGUGGAUAGUGGCUACUGAAUUGGAUAGCACAGUUCUGGAAGAUCAAGUCAGCCUUCACCUUGACAGUCUUAUCUGGUAAGUGGGCAUAUCUCAAAGUUGUCAGGUGUCUGAAGGCUGCAAAUGUGACAUGCAGAGCUGCAAGGACAGGUGCAGAAGCAAGGGGUUUCAUAAGCCAGAGAUUGCUCACUGGGUUAUGCAAUUUCCUCUCAACAAAACCAGGCUUAUGCAGCAUUCUGGGGAAACUUUCUCUGGUCAGGGAGACCCCGUGGCACUGGUUUUGUGGCUGCCCUGCAGAAAUGCUCUGCUUUGAGCCUGAAAAAUGGAGUUGUUUGAAACGGAUCCAGGUUUUCAGCUGCCUAGUCCCUGCGCCCCAUCUGCCAAGCACCAGGAGCGAGGCAGAUGCUGGAAACACAUCUGUCAACCUGCCCUGAUGGUUUCUGGCUCUUCCUCCAGCCUCUCUGAGCCUGUGCUCCCACCCUGGAAGAUGCCGGCACUCUCUGGGUUUUCAGUUCCUGAUCCCCACCAGAGGGCAAACUGGGGCAUCCCUCGAGGUAGCUGCCCCAGAGAGUGGUCCCCCAUUCUCAGCAACUGAUAGCUCUAUCUGCUUGCUGUCUCCCACCCCUCUGACACAGCCCGUCUGAGACAGGAAGUGGGGUGUAAACCCAGCAGUCCCCACAGAUACAGUAAGCAGCUCUGGGAAGAUCUACAUGGGCUGCAGUGAAGCAAAUCCCAGCAUGGAGCAGGCCAGUGCCUGCAUGACAAGCGAUCAAACCUGCUUCUACUCCCGCUCUGCCUCUCUCUCCGAUAAUAUGAGCCCUUUUGAGGAUGAGACGAGAGUGUGUAAACAAAGCUCCUGACAAUCAGUACUCAACAGCUUCUAGGUAGAACAAGACAGAGAGCUAACAGGGAAAAGAGAGGAUGCCUUAACCAUGGUGAUGGCAGGACUAGACUCCAGGUCAGAAUCUGUUAUUCCUCCUCUGGGCCAUUACAGGUCACCAUCCCUGGAGGUUCCUGAAUGAUUUCAACAUUAUGUAGUUUAAGGCGGAAAAGUUAGUCCAUCUGGUUGUGCAUGUAUGGGCAUAUUUUAUAUGCCUAAAAAAGUCAUGAGUUAGAAAAGUUUAGAGUGUCUGACUCUCCUCUGUCAUGCCAGCUCCCAGCUCAGAGCCUGGACCAAUGGAGGCGCUCAGUAGACACAGUUAAUCAGACAGGAGGAAGAAAAGAGUGGGAAAAGGAGGGAGGGAAGGGAGAAGUCAAGAAAAUUUGGUGGGGGCGGAAGAGGUGAGCAACAAGGAGACAGAGCAGGAGGAAGAGGUGGAAGAGGUAGUCCAGGGUCAGAGCUUCCGGCUGCCCCAGUCCUGCAUCUCCAAAUGCAGCUCAGCCCCCUUCUCCCCACGGCGUCUCUGGCUUGGCACCCUGGCUUGAGCUGGAAAGCCUUUUGCCAACUCCAUUUUUCCUCUUAAACCAUCAAGGAGUCUAAACGUCAGCUAAAUAAGGACCCCAUAUGUGGAAAUACUCAUUCUCACAUUGAUGUUUUUCUUGUGAAAGCACGUUGUUUUAUGUGCGGGUGGAGGAAUUCAUUGUAAACUGUUAAAUAUGAUGUAAAUGCUAAUUUCUCUGCAUUGCCCUGUAAAGGAACUCCCUGGGAAGUGCAUCUGAUGGAAGACCAUAAAAGAAAAUGGUAAAAAUAAAUUAGGGAGAAACGCGGGUGGUAGCAUACGGUGUCUGUUUUGCCAACACGCAGCCGUGUGUCCCCUCUCCAAGCUCUGGCCCUAACAGGAGAGGAUUUGCAUAACUGCAGUGACAGAUGCCACCGCUUCCCAGCAGCCACCCAGCCUUAACAACUUUUGGGAAACAUUCUGCCAGGGUUUGCUUCCAAUAAAAACAGUUUUUUGAAAAUCACCAAGCAUUUCUCCCUUUUGCAAUUUUUAGUAAAACUAUGGUUCCUAGAGGUUUGGAUUUCAAUCCUAAAAGGAAGAGGCACAACUGAUAUGAUGAAGAUCUGGCCUUUAAAACCAACCUAGGUUUCAGGUUGCUCACCCAGGCUUGCAGUAACAACCUUUUCUAAAAACCUCUGAUGCACUUUGGCCACCUUCAAAUGAGAACAUGGCAGGUGUGUGGCGAACACAGGCCUCUUUCUCCGUCAGUAGCCUGGCCUGUCUCUGCACUCUGCUAACCAAACCCAGCUCUGGAUUUUAACCACAACCCAAAUUUUGUCACACACAAAAGAAUUAGAAUCCAGGGUCACACAGCUAUUUGUGGGAUGAAUAUUAGUAUAUUCUUUGCAAAUGCAUGAUGUAUGAACUGUAUGUAUUUCUUUGAUAAAUUGUUUUUAAAUAUUUCCUCCUUUUUAUUAAUUGAAGAGGAGCCUCGUGUAUCACUGCCAUUUUUUCCUGUUUUUCACAUAAAUUAUUUCUUGCAACGUU